rnacentral:lncRNA from 1 species
UGCAUUUCAUUUAUGGCAGAAUAUCCAUUAUUUAAUUGAAUUAAUAUUCUAAUAAACUAAAUAAUAGAAUCCGUAAUUCAAUAAAGGUAUAAUUUCUAUCGUGGAGGAUUCUUCUCCUCUCUUCGGUUAUUUGGAAUUAUACACUCACAUUGCGUUGGUUACUCCUACAGAGGGAAGAGAUAAAAAUCCAGACUGCAGGCUUCUGGAUAAUGCUAAAUUCUCACGUAUGAUAUGUUGCUGAGGGAUACAUUCUUAUUUC